GUACAGCUGGUACCUGAUGGGGAUAUGUGCAAUGGCUGUUGCAUUGCACAGGAGUUUGUCACAGCGUUGGUCCUCUUGAGUUCCAGCCACUCAGACAGAGGCCCUUUUGGAGAGUAUCUCCAGACAGAAGAAUUCAGAUGAUGAUUGUCGAAACCAAGGUUUGUGUCCCGCCGCCCCCUCCUCCCUGGAGACUGGUGUCACCCACAAUAGCUUCGUUUUGAAAAGAAGGACCUAAUUUGAAAGAGGCUGCAGUUCAGCGGCAGGAGGGAUUUAAACACUGUUAAGACUGACAUUUUCCCUCAUCUCACAUCCCGUGGGGUACCUGAUUGCAAAUUUAUAAUACACCAGAGGUCUUGCCAUCGGAAGAUACAGCCUUACAGUAACAGCAACUAAUUUAAAAUAGAUCUCCAGUGCAUCAGUGUCUGGGGCUGGUUUACACAGACUAAUUAAUCCUUAUUUGACCUGAAUUAACUCUUAAUCUGUGUGAAAUGAAAGAGCUUUACCGGGAUACAGAAAAAUUUGAAAGAUGGAAAACCCUUUCAGAGCAGGAGGUUUCUGCGGCUCAGUCACUUGUGGAUUAAAUACUUGUUGGCUGCUGCUGUGGAAAAUCAGACCCUUCAUUUAUUUUCUAUUCUGACCCCCCCCGUUAUUGACCAGAAAAUACAGGAAGGGGCGGAGGAUUUAUUCGCUACCCUUGGUAAGCGAUGCAGAAGCAGAGCAGAAGAGUUGUCCCUGCUGUUUCCUGCUGGUAUCUCGGGUUUAGCCAGUAAAUCUGCAGGAUGGCACAAGGGAGACCAUAUUGGAACAGAUCUUCCCUUUGAUGUCCCCAGAUUGCACAGUCCCCAGGUGAGAGAUGGCUUCACUUGGGAGCAGUUGCCUUGGUAAGGACUGCAGAUGUGAGUACUGGGUAAAUACAGAAAGAUCAUAACAAAUGCUCCUGAUGUAGCCUGCCCAAAAGCAGGGGGAUGUCCCCACCCCAUAUCUUUGGGACAGGGGGGAUUUGUCCAGUUGGAAAACAACCCAGGCUUUCAGGCUUAAAAGUUGGUCCAUCAGGUUUGAUAAAAUAACAAGCUCAAUCAGAUGUCCUCUUGUGCCUCACAGGACGCUCCUAGAGCACAGGAUGAGCCCAUGGCUCAUCCAAGCUGAUCUCAAGAAUCUAAAUAAAUGAACACAUCCUGGUCCAUAGUACACCAUGAUGUACUUAAGUAGGUUAAGUAGGGUGUGCUGGGUUGGAAGUGGGAUGUGGAGACCAGAGCCUGAGGCAGGAUAAGUCAAGGCUGCCCUGAAUGUGACUGUGCUUUCACUACUGAGCUCUGGGAUCCUGUUCAGCGUUCAUGCAUGUGUUAAGGGCUAGCUGGAACUUUGGGAAGCUGUAGAAAAUAAGUGAAUGGUUGGAGAAGGUUGGACCUGCACAUCUAACCUGGUGUUCUGGUUAGAUCUCAUGGCAUGCUGUGCCCAAUGCCCCUGCUUGUGGAGACAUAAGCUCCCUCAGAGCUUAUCACUGGUUUGUUCUUGUCUGUAUUUCAUUGUGCAAAGACAGUUGAGAGGUGCUUGGGGAUGAUCAGAAGACCAUAUAAUGUCAUGAUGUGCCAGGUGAGAUGCCUCUCCUGAUGCUAGGAAGGCAGCAACUUGCUUUUCUCCUUUGUUCUUUGCACACUGUUCCCUCACCCCUGCUUACCUAUUACUUACUCUGUUUGAAACUCCAGCUAAUACAGGACCAUCACACCUUGUCUAAAUACCUAAAACAAAGGGCAGCAUCCUUAUUUCUGGUUCCUGAGCAUUGCCCUGUCCAAAAUCACCCCGGACACCUGAGGCAGGAGCCUGGUGUGAGCCCCAGUCACCUCCAUAGUAAGACCUUCCCUACAAAUGUUGCUGUGAAUGCCAUUAUUAUUGCAUUAAAUGUCCAUUGCCCCAGCAGAGAGGUGCUUUCAAAAGAUGCUACCACAUUAUGCAGAAUAAAUGUCACCCUCUCAAAUGAGCAAGCUGUCGAAGGCUUGAGGUACCAUUUAAAGGUUAGCUGGUGUUGCUUGUAUCUCUAUUUUCAAUUACCCCCACUUGUUGGCUUUGAAGUCUUUAGUAUGGAAAAUAAAUCGUAGCUCAAUGUGC